GACGAACGCUGGCGGCGUGCUUAACACAUGCAAGUCGAACGGAAAGGCCCUGCUUUUGUGGGGUGCUCGAGUGGCGAACGGGUGAGUAACACGUGAGUAACCUGCCCUUGACUUUGGGAUAACUUCAGGAAACUGGGGCUAAUACCGGAUAGGAGCUCCUGCUGCAUGGUGGGGGUUGGAAAGUUUCGGCGGUUGGGGAUGGACUCGCGGCUUAUCAGCUUGUUGGUGGGGUAGUGGCUUACCAAGGCUUUGACGGGUAGCCGGCCUGAGAGGGUGACCGGCCACAUUGGGACUGAGAUACGGCGCAGAGUCCUACGGGAGGCAGCAGUGGGGAAUAUUGCACAAUGGGCGGAAGCCUGAUGCAGCAACGCCGCGUGCGGGAUGACGGCCUUCGGGUUGUAAACCGCUUUCGCCUGUGACGAAGCGUGAGUGACGGUAAUGGGUAAAGAAGCACCGGCUAACUACGUG
rnacentral:rRNA from 1 species